CUUGCACAUAAAGAAAAGGGCUCCGAGACCCUAAAAGAAUGCUUCAGCAAGUGAAUAUUUGCUCGAGCAGAGCUUCGCAAGAUUUACACCUGGCCCAAAGAAGCCACGUUUACGACUGGUCAUGGUCCAGUGCUCUCUGCGAUUGGCUGUGCUGUGACACAGCUAAGUUGAGAAGACAGCCCACAAGUAACAUGUAUGUUCCGUGUCAGAAAGAGUGUGCUUUUUGAAAUAAUUUUUAUGAGUCUUCGAGCAAACCUAAAAAUAUGUAUGUCACCAAAAAAGAAGUGAGGGGGAGCAC
rnacentral:lncRNA from 1 species